GGUGAACGCUAGCGACAGGCUUAACACAUGCAAGUCGAGGGGCAGCAUAAAAGUAGCAAUACUUUGGUGGCGACCGGCGCACGGGUGAGUAACGCGUAUGCAACCUACCUAUCAGAGGGGAAUAACCCGGCGAAAGUCGGACUAAAACCGCAUAAAACAGGGGCACCGCAUGGUGAUAUUUGUUAAAGAAAUUCGCUGAUAGAUGGGCAUGCGUUCCAUUAGGUAGUUGGUGAGGUAACGGCUCACCAAGCCGACGAUGGAUAGGGGAACUGAGAGGUUGGGCCCCCACACUGGUACUGAGACACGGACCAGACUCCUACGGGAGGCAGCAGUGAGGAAUAUUGGUCAAUGGGCGAGAGUCUGAACCAGCCAAGUCGCGUGAAGGAAGAAGGAUCUAUGGUUCGUAAACUUCUUUUGCAGGGGAAUAAAGUGCGGGACGUGUCCUGUUUUGUAUGUACCCUGAGAAUAAGGAUCGGCUAACUCCGUGCCAGCCGCCGCUGAAA
rnacentral:rRNA from 1 species